CUACGGGCGGCAGCAGGCACGAACUCUCUUCAAUGCGCGAAAGCGUGAAAGGGGAAUCCCCAGUGCUCAUACAUAGCGUAUGGGCUUUUGCCAAGUGUAAAGAGCUUGGCGAAUAAGUGGUGGGCAAGACUGGUGCCAGCCGCCGCGGUAACACCAGCGCCACAAGUGGAAAUCGGUAUUAUUGGGCCUAAAGCGUUCGUAGCCGGUCAGGUAAAUCUUUUGUGAAAUCGUCAUGCCUAACGUGACGGCGUGCAGAAGACACUGCUUGGCUUGGGACCGGGAGAGGUAUGGAGUAUUCGGCGGGGAGCGGUAAAAUGCUAUAAUCCGCCGAGGACUACCUGUGGCGAAGGCGCCAUACCAGAACGGAUCCGACGGUGAGGGACGAAAGCCAGGGGAGCGAAAAGGAUUAGAUACCCCGGUAGUC
rnacentral:rRNA from 1 species